UCCCUCUUCUCAUCCUAUAUAUAUAUAUAUAUAUAUAUAUAUAUAAAUAUAUGAGUUCAUGUUUGAAAAUAAAAAAUUGAAGGAGGUUUUGAUACAUGUUGAUUUGGGGAUUUUGGAUUUUCAUGAGGAAAUUUGGGAUUUCAUUUUGACGUAGGUCUAUAUAUGGCUUUGUGUUCAAUUCUUUUGGAAAAAUUGUGACUAUGCUUGCAUGUAUUUUGAAUUCAAAUUUAUUUUGGGGCUGUGACUGUGAUAACUGUAAUGCCAAUAUAUGUUUGUUUUGUAUGUUGAGAUUUUGAAAACCCUGUUUUGAUAUGCAUAUGUGGUCUGUAUUUCCAAUUUUCAUUGGGGCUGUGAAUCUGUGAAUCCAAUUUUCAUUGGGGUGUGCAACUCUAUGAAUUGCAUCGAUAUUGAUAUACCAUGAUAAAGCUCCUGAAGAUGUUUGAUGGAUGGUUGGGACAUUGUUGCUGGUGUCCAUGUUUUUGGCUUUAUGUUUCUGUUUUUGCUGGUGUCCAUGUUCUUACCAGAAUUAAAAAAUAAAAUAAUAAUAAUAAUAAUAAAAAUUGUCUACUACCGGUAAAGAUAUAAUGGAGAUGCUUAUGAAAACCCAAGUUAGACCUGCAUUAAUUUAGACCAUGGUGAUACUUGUUGAUAUUGAUUUUUUCCACUUAAUAAGAGAACUAACAAGAUGCAAAUGAAUUCUAAACUUGUAUGAAACAGGAUUGGAAAAUAGGAUUUACUUAAUUGACUUAGUUGAGAAAUGUUUGUUAAGUUGAGUAAAUGUCUUCUCUAUAUUCACUAAAUAUUUAACUUCAAAAGCAAAAUUUAGCAAAUGUUAAAUGUAUCUUUUAUUUAAUAUAGAAUUCUAUUUGAGCUCCAAGAUAAUCUUCAGAGACCUUUUCUUUUUUAGGGGUUAAAAUAGACUGAGUGUAUCAAACUCUUGUAAUGCAAUUAUCUACCUCUAUAUACCAAAUUAAUCAAGUUCUAUUGUAGAAAUUUCUAGAAUAAUGGUCCAGAAAAUUGAUUUCUUUUUGCAAAAAUGUUUACCUUUUUUUUUUUUUUUUUUUUUUUAUACGUAUUUUUGUCCUCCAUUGAACUUGGUGGAAUUACUUGAUUGAUGUUUGCUAACCCGUCUCUCUUUCGGCAUUAUCUCAUCUGAGAUUACAAAGUUGAAGCUCUAGGCUUCUCUUUAGGCUGUCUCUCCUCUGUCUCGAUCUCUCAGCAAUUUCUGAGAAGGAUAAAUAAUAAGCUGACAAUGGAACGAAUGGUUAGUGAAGUGGAAAAAGUGAGUGAACAAAAUACCGAAGCUUCAACUUCAAAAUCAUGCCAACCACCACCGAAGAAGAGACGGGGCCCGACAUAAUGCAAGAAUGUAAUAGACGCGAAAACCUUAUUACCUUUAAGGGUUAAUAAGUUUGGGCAGCCGAUCGGUGCUAGAAGUGGUACAUAUACUAAUUAUUUGGGAACACUUGCCCGGAAGGGUAAAUUAGUUCCUUUGUGCUACAAAACUUGGUGGGAGAUGCCUAAACGGCUGAAGGAGGAUAUGUGGAACAUUGUAAAGGGAAAAUAUGAUGUGGGAUCCAUGUCAAAACAAUGGAUAUUAUCCUCCAUCAGAAAAAAAUGGAGGGGGUACAAGUGUGAAUUAAAAAAUGAAUACUACUCGGUUAGGAAUACAGAUGAAGAAAGAUUGGCAAACCCACCACCUGAUGUUGAAAAGGAGCAUUGGGAAUUUUUGGUUAGGCAUUGGGGUACGCCUAUGGCGAAGGAGGUCAGCAAAAAAAAUAAAGAACGUUGUGGGAAGCAGACAAUGAUGCAUACUACAGGGACAAAAAGCUUUGCACGUGUUUCUGCUGAGAUUGAGGAAGACGAAGGUAUUUAGCUUUCUCGUGCAGAUUUAUUCAUCUGUACACAUGUAAAUAAGGAUGGCAAAGCUAUUGAUGCUGCUGCUUCGGAUAUGAUUGAGGAGGCACGUGCUACACGUGUAGAGUUGUAGGAGAAGAUUUCAAAAAUGCAAGCCGACUAUGACAAUAAGUUGGAAAAUUUAUGAGCCAACUACGACGACAAGUUGAAAAAUUUACAACAACAGGUGGCUAUGUAAUGCAGACGCAACAACAAAAUUGUAGUGGAUAGUGUUCUGAUUCUUUAAAUGCUCCUCCUAGAGUAUCCCCAAAUUCAUUUUCUAAUCGUGAUGCCAAUUCAAUUAAGGGUAAUUCAAAUCAAAUGGGCAAGAAGACUCGUUGAAGUUGAAGUUGAAGUUGAAGUUGAAGUUGAAGAUGGGGUCGUGGCUAUGCUUUUUGAAUUUCCUUCACCUUGGAUGGAUUCUUUUUGAAAAACUUGUACUACAUUUGUCAAAAUUUCUUAAUUCUUUUUGUGUGACAUUUAGUAGCUUUAUCUAGACAAUUUGGAUGGUAUUUUCAUAUUGGUAGGUUAACUUGUGGUUGUUUUAGUAUACAUUUUUUACUAGCUUAACUUGUGUUGGUAUUAGUAGCCAAUUUUGAUAGUAUUUUUCAUAUUGGCAGGGUUAGCUUGUGGUUGUUUGUAAAAACAAUUUGGAUGGUAUUUUUAUAUUGACUUGUGUUAGGAUGCAUUUAGUAGCCGUAAAGAAAUUUUUUUCCAAAAACAAUAAUGGAAAAUAAAAAAUGUAAAUAAUUUUACCAGCACUCUUUUAAGAAGUGCUGGGCAUAGGGGAAAAUAAAAAAUAAAAAAAAAAAAAAAAA